UCCUCACAAAGACGCACAGAGGAGGCAGUGUGUCCACGGCCACGGAGACUCCCUAGUGCCAAACACACUCUCCUUCACACACUCACACUUCUGCACUAACACACCGAAGGACGGAGAGACAGAGAGAGAGAGAGAGAGAGAGAGAGAGAGCAGAGAGCAGCCGGAACGUUUGGAAAUAUCGAAACAGGGAAGUUGGAGAGGAGCGUGAGUUUCGGUGGAGUGAUCCGCUCAUCAGCAUGUUCAGCUGGGUCAAACAGGAGCAGGGAGGCCGUAACAAGGAGGGAGAGAUGUACCAGACUGUGACCGAGGGGCUGCAGACCCUCUACACCAAGAAGCUGCUGCCUCUGGAGGAACACUACCUCUUCCAUGACUUCCACUCCCCCGCGCUGGAGGCCGCCGACUUCCAGAGCAAACCCAUGGUGCUGCUGGUGGGCCAGUACUCCACGGGGAAGACCACCUUCAUCAGGUAUCUCCUGGAGCAGGACUUUCCAGGCAUGCGGAUCGGUCCGGAGCCGACCACUGACGGCUUCAUCGCUGUGAUGUACGGGGAGAACGAAGGCAUCGUCCCUGGGAACGCUCUGGUGGUCGACCCUAAGAAACCCUUCAGGAAGCUCAACGCCUUUGGAAACUCCUUCCUCAACAGGUUUAUCUGCUCCCAGAUGCCCAAUCAGGUCCUCCAGAGCAUCAGCAUCAUCGACACGCCCGGUAUCCUGUCAGGAGAGAAACAGAGGAUCAGCAGAGGUUAUGACUUUGCUGAGGUCCUGCGGUGGUUCGGCGAGCGCGUCGACCGGAUCAUCCUGCUGUUCGACGCUCACAAACUCGACAUCUCCGACGAGUUCUCGGAGGCGAUCAAAGCUUUCAAAGGGCAGGACGAUAAGAUCCGAGUGGUCCUGAACAAGGCCGACCAGGUGGACACGCAGCAGCUGAUGAGGGUCUACGGCGCCCUCAUGUGGUCGCUGGGGAAGGUUAUCAACACUCCAGAGGUGGUGAGGGUUUACCUGGGCUCGUUCUGGGCCAAACCGCUGCAGAACACCGAGAACAGGCGUCUGUUUGAGGCGGAGUCUCAGGACCUCUUCAGGGACAUCCAGAGUCUCCCGAGGAACGCGGCACUCCGUAAACUCAACGACCUCAUCAAGAGAGCGAGACUCGCCAAGGUGCACGCUUACAUCAUCAGCUACCUGAAGAAGGAGAUGCCGUCUCUGUUUGGACGGGAGAAGAAGAAGGAGGAGCUGAUCAUGAGGCUGCCAGAGAUCUACACCACACUGCAGAGAGAGCACCACAUCAGCCCCGGAGACUUCCCCAACGUCGCCAAGAUGCAGGACAUGCUGCAGCACUACGACUUCAGUAAGUUCCCGUCUCUGAAGAUGAAGCUGAUCGAGUCGGUGGAUAAGAUGUUGGCCUCAAAGAUCGCCGUCCUGAUGGCGAUGAUCCGUGAGGAGGAGUCCAAGCAACCACCGGCGAUGGUGUCAGGUGGCGCCUUCGAGGGCUCCCAGGACGGACCCUUCGGUCACGGCUACGGCGAGGGCAUCAGCGCCGGGGCCGACACCGAUGACUGGAUCGUCGCUCGCGAGAAGCACCGCUACGACGAGAUCUUCUACAUGCUGAUGCCCGUCAAUGGCAAGAUCACUGGGGUCAACGCCAAGAAGGAGAUGCAGAACUCGCGGCUGCCCAACACCGUGCUCGGAAAGAUCUGGAAGCUGGCUGACUGCGACAACGACGGCAUGCUGGACGACGAGGAGUUUGCACUGGCUCAGCAUCUCAUCAAGAUCAAACUGGAGGGCUACGAGCUGCCCACGGAGCUGCCACUGCACCUCGUACCCCCAGCCCACCGCAAAAACCCCACCGCAGACACCAUGUAUAACCACAGCGAGGACUAGAGCGCCAACAUGGCGGCUGGAGGGACUCACCGAGCAGGGAAGAGGUCCUAAUGUAAAAAAAAAAAAUAACCAAAGAUUUCUGCUGCAAACGUUCAAACUAGCAGGAGAACUAAUCAGCUGUUUCCUGCAGAGUAUGAGAGUUUUAUUUUGAAGGGGAGCUCGCCAGACUCUGUCGCUGACUCAUCGCUACACACGCACCAAAUAUCAGGGCAGAGAAUAAACAAAAUGGACUGAAGGGAAGUCUGAAUAUCAUGCUUUUAUUUUGCGGUCCUAUCUUUAGACCCCGGUGUUCUCCUGGAUACCAACUCUGUUUUUCUGUAAAAGUAUGAACAGGAACGAUGUCUUCUCCAUGCCGUUGGUGUUACAUAACAUCCCGUCCCUCCUCUGUCCAAUCAGGCGGUGUCGGCAGGAUGGAUGAUGGAUGGGUGUCUUUACAGUCCUGACAGGAAACACAAACACUUUUAUUGUUUUUAUUGCAUCUUCUACUGUUUCCUCCUCCUGAAAACCUUUGUUCACAUGUCCAAUUUCACUGCAGAUAUGUUAGAGGUCAAAGGUCACUGUGACAUCAAAUCUCUGCACAGUAUUUGAAGAAUGCAUGGUGGGAUUUAGUCAAACUAAACACAUGCAUAAUCUACAUCGAUGUUGCACAUUGCAAUGACAAUUUAACUUUCUAAUAUGUCAUCGAUCACCAGCACUACCACUAGAGGGAGUCAGAAGCAUAAAAGGAGGUCUGGACCAUUUAGUGGGGUCCUCUUGGGGGUUUGUGGAUCCCAGGAAGCAGUGGUUCUCAACCUUUUCAGCCUGGGACCCCCAAAAUAAAGGGGUCAGAGGCCGGGGACCCCCACUGUACCUGAAGGUGGUUGAACAGCCAUGAACAU